rnacentral:rRNA from 1 species
CCUACGGGAGGCAGCAGUGAGGAAUAUUGGUCAAUGGCCGGAAGGCUGAACCAGCCAUGCCGCGUGAAGGUCAGUGCCCUAUGGGCGUUAAACUUCUUUUGUGCGGGAGCAAUAAUGGUCACGUGUGGCCAGACGAGAGUACCGUACGAAUAAGCAUCGGCUAACUCCGUGCAAGCAGCCGCGGUAAUACGGGGGAUGCAAGCGUUAUCCGGGUUUGUUGGGUUUAAAGGGUGCGUAGGCUGUGAGGUAAGUCAGCGGUGAAAUGCCCCCGCUCAACGGGGUGAAUUGCCAUUGAUACUGCCUUGCUUGAAUGCGGAUGCCGUGGGAGGAAUGUGUGGUGUAGCGGUGAAAUGCAUAGAUAUCACACAGAACUCCGAUUGCGAAGGCAGCUUACUAAACUGCCACUGACAUUGAUGCUCGAAAGUGUGGGUAUCAAACAGGAUUAGAUACCCGGGUAGUC